rnacentral:misc_RNA from 1 species
GAAGAAUUGCCGGUUCGUCUGGUGAAAUCUUUCCCUCUUGUUUCAGAUCUUCUGCAAAGUUGUUUAGAUCUUCAUCAAGUCGUUUAAUAUGGCUAUCUAUCAGGUCGCCUGCUUGACGUGCUAACAAAACCUUCUCAGUACACAAACUCAACGCGCUAUCCUGAUUGGCCUCGAUAUCCUUCCGCAGUUUCUCAAGGGCGG